rnacentral:rRNA from 1 species
AACGAACGCUGGCGGCAUGCCUAACACAUGCAAGUCGAACGAGACCUUCGGGCUUGGUGCUGCAUUGGUGCGUAACUCGUUGGAACCUUCCCUUAGGUUUGGAAUAACUUCCCGAAUGGGGUUCUAAUACCGGUUAAUGUCUUCCGUCCUAAGUUUUAUCGCCUUUGGAUGAUCCCGCGUUGGAUUAGCUUGUUGUUAGGGUAAAAGCUUAUCAAGGCUUCGAUCCAUAGCUGGUAUGUGAGGAUGAUCAGCCACACUGGGAGUGCGACACAGUCGAGAAUAAUAAGGAAAGAAGGAGUGGGGAAUACUGGAAAAGGGGCGGAAGGCUGAGCGAGCAAUGCCGGGUGAGUGAUGAAAGACUUAGGGUUGUAAAGUGAUUUUACACGGGACGAUAAUGAAAGUACCGGGAGAAUAAGCGCCGGCUAACUCCGUG